CCAGACUGGACAGUCCCUCCUCCCGCGCCCCCUGGGGCCGCCAUUCGCAGCUUGUCCCCUUGUGCGCGAGCCAAGUAACCAGCCCCUACCUUCCGCCAACCAGGCACGUGGCGUGCCUGCACCCGAUACCUGAACAGUGAUACGAAUCGCCGCCAUCGGCGUACCUCCUGAACCGAGGACCCGGCUGGAUGGUAAACCACACGAACCCCGUCGUAUUGUGCGUGAAUUAUGA